UAGAGUUUGAUCAUGGCUCAGAUUGAACGCUGGCGGCAGGCCUAACACAUGCAAGUCGAGCGGUAACACAAGGGAGCUUGCUCCUGAGGUGACGAGCGGCGGACGGGUGGGUAAUGCCUAGGUAUCUGCCCAGUCGAGGGGGAUAACAGUUGGAAACGACUGCUAAUACCGCAUACGCCCUACGGGGGAAAGGAGGGGACCUUCGGGCCUUUCGCGAUUGGAUGAACCUAGGUGGGAUUAGCUAGUAGGUGGGGUAAUGGCUCACCUAGGCGACGAUCCCUAGCUGGUCUGAGAGGAUGAUCAGCCACACUGGAACUGAGACACGGUCCAGACUCCUACGGGAGGCAGCAGUGGGGAAUAUUGCACAAUGGGCGAAAGCCUGAUGCAGCCAUGCCGCGUGUAUGAAGAAGGCCUUCGGGUUGUAAAGUACUUUCAGCGAGGAGGAAAGCUCAAUUGUUAAUAGCAGUUGGGUGUGACGUUACUCGCAGAAGAAGCACCGGCUAACUUCGUGCCAGCAGCCGCGGUAAUACGAGGGGUGCAAGCGUUAAUCGGAAUUACUGGGCGUAAAGCGUACGCAGGCGGUUUGUUAAGCGAGAUGUGAAAGCCCCGGGCUCAACCUGNGAACUGCAUUUCGAACUGGCAAACUAGAGUCCUGUAG
rnacentral:rRNA from 1 species